rnacentral:rRNA from 1 species
CAAGGUUUCCGUAGGGGGACCCUGCCGGAAGGAUCAUUG